UACGAAGGUGGCAAGCGUUGUUCGGAAUCACCGGGCUUAAAGCGCACGUAGGCGGUCCUUCAAGCGUCUUGUGAAAUCCCUCGGCUCAACCGGGGAAUGGCUGGACGAACUGUAGGACUUGAGGCAGGUAGGGGUGCAUGGAACUCUUGGUGGAGCGGUGAAAUGCGUAGAUAUCAAGAGGAACGCCGGUGGCGAAAGCGAUGCACUGGGCCUGCCCUGACGCUGAGGUGCGAAAGCUAGGGGAGCGAACGGG
rnacentral:rRNA from 1 species